ensembl:lncRNA
UUUUUUUUUUCCAAGUUUGAAGUUGAAAUCAGAUGCAGUUUGAAACGACGGGUUACGCCUGUGAUGUUCGUAGGAAAGCACAUCAUACUGUGAUAUAUUGCGUGAGAUUUAUGCUUUCAUAUGUAAUUUCUUCUGUCCGCGAAAGCACGGCGACGCGAUGCUCGGUGACGUUUCUGUACGGCACGGCGUGUGAUGAACUCGAUGAACCACGUUCGCAUUAAGGUGAAGUAAGUCGCUGGGGGAAGUCUAACGAGGAUGUUAUGAGGAUAAAUCUUAGCCGUAGUUUAUGGCGCAUGGCCGGAAGUCGUUUUAUUUUUAGCCUCCACCAGCAUUCGGACGUCUCCGCCUGCGGCGCAGGAGCGUGACGCCGCUGUCUGAUGGCGGUGUAUUGUGUUGCUGUCACACUGAUUGGCGUGUUACCCCUCUCUGCCCACUCUUACACUUUGACUCAGUGUGCCGUGGGAAAAGAACAAUGAAGCCUGUGGCCUGACGGUGUAAAGUAUGGAACAAGGAAACCGCGUGAGACAAAACUCCAGUUCACUGCAUCCUGCAAACAUUCUGUAAUGAAUGUAUAUCAAUGUUGUGGGUGUGAGAGAGGGUGUGAGUGUGUAAGAGAGAGCGAGAGGGUGUGUGAGAGAGCGAGAGAGAAGGGGUGUGUGUGUGAGAGAGAGGACGGGGUGUGUCCGUCAUAGUAACGCGACGCCGUGCUGUCGUCAUAGUAACGCGACGCCGUGCUGUCGUUUUCAUCGUGCUCACGUGAGCUUUUUUCUUUUUUCCAAAUGGUUUUCACGUGAUGGAGCGUUUCCUAUGUACCUCGAUGUUUUGGAAAACAGCGUGUGGUUUGUUUUGGGGUUUUUUGUGUUUUUUAAACACGCGGAUGGAGAUCAGGCCAGUGUGGAUGGGCGGGGCUGGGUGCGUGACUGAUUGCGCAAUCCUAAGACGUGUGAGCGGCGUUGUCUGUAAAAGACUCGGGGCUCCGUUUCUCCCUCGCUCUCCGCAGCUCCUCGUCCGUUAUCUUUACCGAGUCGGCGCUCGCAUCCGCGUUCUCGUCUGCGUACGAAUCCGAUAGUGACCGUCUUGUGUGUGUGUGUGUGUGUGUGUGUGUGUGUGUGUGUGUGUGCGCGUGCAGCUGCUCUGUGCUUCGGUGCGUGUGUACCCAGCAGAAUGGCGUCUUUGUGAGUCGACGUCGGGAGGCAAGAAAUCUGCCUGCUGCUUCCAUCUGGCCAGCCAUACUGCCACUUGAGGGGUUUUGUUCGGCUAUCAGACGAGAACGUGCACACCCACACACACACACACACACACACACACACACACACACACACACACACUGAGUGUGUACACACUCUCGCUUACGGAGAUCAGACAUUGACAGCGUGGACUAAUCCACCUGAUAAAGAGCAAAUCCACAGAGGAUCAGGGAAACGGCUAUAAUUAUAACGCGUGUGAGAGGGGAAAGGAAACGUCAGACAUGUCCUGCUCUUCACACAGCUUUGUGAUCAGGGGGGAUUUAUUUCUGUCACCGUGUGUGUGUGUGUGUGUGUGUGUGUGUGUGUGUUUUCUAUUUCCUGUGCUGCUCCUGCACACGCUAUAAGAAUAGCACCGGUAUUACAAUGCAAGCCUGGGAACAUUGAUGCAGAACAGCUCCUCAAACUCACACGUGUGUAUCUCUGAGCGCGUGUGUGUGUGUGUGUGUGUGUGUGUGUGUGUGAGAGAGAGAAUGGGAAGUGGGGAACGUCCACACCACACCUGUGGCACAAACCCAGAAAGAGGAAGAACUUAAACAAAUCAAACACGCAGCUGUUGAGGCUCCGAAAAGUGAGGAUUGUUGGGGGGUUUUUUUUGUUUGUUUUGUUUUGGUUUUUAUUUUGUCUCUGUGGUGGCAGGUGAAAAAGCUGAUUUGAAUUUUAUUAACUUGAUCCUGGAUUCAGAUUUCACCUUCUUUCAUGUCUUAUUUGAAUGAACACACACACACACACACACACACACACACACACACACACACACACACACACACACACACACUGACCUGUGUUUUACUGCAGCCUAAACAAACACCCUGCUUUCACCUGCUUUUCGUCACGCUCCUGGCGAAUGAUUAACGUUCACACGUGCGACAGUGUAACGGAACACACGUGAGACGUGACCGGUUCCAAACGCGGAGACGAAAAGCAGGAUGCCGUCGUGUCUGGUCGAGAUCGGAGGCACGAUACGAGGGAGUGCGCAACAAAGGAAGACGCUGCACGACGCGUUCCCAGCAUCCUUAGUAACCGCCUGGGCAAACUUCCACGCGCGUAUCCUCGGAUCAACACGUGACCGGCUUUCGUCGCGAAUCUGGCGUACUGUAGGCCUGCCGUUAACUCGUACCUCGCCGGCGUAGAGAAGGACACGCCGGACUGUCCGAGCGUGAAAUCACACACGUGCUAGUAGUAAAGUGCGUAUUUAAUUAUUUUAUUUUUAAACAAAAACCCAACCCCUUCAGUUUAGGCCACACCUACUCUGAGUUUAGAUACAGAGAUGGAAAUUCAGACACGCGUUUAUCAGCGUCCUGUUUCACCGUUCGGACAAAAAUACUUCAAUGAAACGCGACGUAUUAAUCAUUUCUUUCUGAUUAAUGACUUACUUCAUAAUUAGUAUCUGGAAUUCCUAAUUCCCAAUG